rnacentral:rRNA from 1 species
AUUGAACGCUGGCGGCAGGCCUAACACAUGCAAGUCGAACGAGGGGCGGACGGGUGAGUAAUGUCUGGGAACCUGCCCGAUGGAGGGGGAUCACUACGGGAAACGGUCUCUAAUACCGUAUACCAUCGGGUGUGCCCAUAUGAGAUUAGCUAGUUGGUGGGGUAAUGGCACACAUAGGCGACGAUCCCUAGCUGGUCUGAGAGGAUGACCAGCCACACUGGAACUGAGACACGGUCCAGACUCCUACGAGAGGCAGCAGUGGUGAAUAUUGCACAAUGGGCGCAAGCCUGAUGCAGCCAGGCCGCGUGUAUGAAGAAGGCCUUCGGGUUGUAAAGUACUUUCAGCGGGGAGGCGUUACCCGCAGAAGAAGCACCGGCUAACUCCGUGCCAGCAGCCGCGGUAAUAC